rnacentral:lncRNA from 7 species
GGCAUCCCUCGGCACGGUCCCCUCGGGGACACCCGCGGAACCGCCACGAGCCCGGGGAGGAAAACUCCGGAGUAACUCGCAGGUUUUCUGACAAAGCGGAUCGGAUGGAAACUUCCCCAUCUAUCAAACGACCGGAUAAAAAGGGCACGGGAGAGUCCUGAAAGAUUUCUUGCAAGAUUUAUUUUGCUAAACGAGGAUGCAUGUAUGGGAUCCAAGAGCAACGGUGAGGAGUGGAGGUCAAAGGACCUCUGCUUUAUCUUAGGAA